rnacentral:tRNA from 1 species
GCUCCGGUGGGGUAGCGGCAGCCCCCCUCGCUCUCAACGAGGAAGCCCGAGUUCAACUCUCGGUCGGAGUACGA